rnacentral:rRNA from 1 species
AUUGAACGCUGGCGGCAGGCCUAACACAUGCAAGUCGAACGGUAACAGGAAACAGCUUGCUGUUUCGCUGACGAGUGGCGGACGGGUGAGUAAUGUCUGGGAAACUGCCUGAUGGAGGGGGAUAACUACUGGAAACGGUAGCUAAUACCGCAUAACGUCGCAAGACCAAAGAGGGGGGCCUUCGGGCCUCUUGCCAUCGGAUGUGCCCAGAUGGGAUUAGCUAGUAGGUGGGGUAACGGCUCACCUAGGCGACGAUCCCUAGCUGGUCUGAGAGGAUGACCAGCCACACUGGAACUGAGACACGGUCCAGACUCCUACGGGAGGCAGCAGUGGGGAAUAUUGCACAAUGGGCGCAAGCCUGAUGCAGCCAUGCCGCGUGUAUGAAGAAGGCCUUCGGGUUGUAAAGUACUUUCAGCGGGGAGGAAGGGAGUAAAGUUAAUACCUUUGCUCAUUGACGUUACCCGCAGAAGAAGCACCGGCUAACUCCGUG